rnacentral:rRNA from 1 species
CAGUUGUUUAUCAAUGUAUUAGGUUUAUUCCAUCGUUGUAUCAGCAGUUGCAGGACGUGGCAAAGUUUUGGCUCUGCCUAACAAACUUUUUUAAUCCUAAAGUUUGACCUCAAAUCAGGUAGGACUACCCGCUGAACUUAAGCAUAUCAAUAAGCGGAGGAAAAGAAACCAACAGGGAUUGCCUUAGUAGCGGCGAGUGAAGCGGCAAGAGCUCAAAUUUGAAAUCUGGUGCCUUUGGUGCCCGAGUUGUAAUUUGAAGAAAGCUAUCUUGGAUUUGGCCUUUGUCUAUGUUCCUUGGAACAGGACGUCACAGAGGGUGAGAAUCCCGUGCGAUGAGGUGUCCAUUUCUAUGUAAGAUGUUUUCGAAGAGUCGAGUUGUUUGGGAAUGCAGCUCUAAGUGGGUGGUAAAUUCCAUCUAAAGCUAAAUAUUGGCGAGAGACCGAUAGCGAACAAGUACAGUGAUGGAAAGAUGAAAAGAACUUUGAAAAGAGAGUGAAAAAGUACGUGAAAUUGUUGAAAGGGAAGGGUAUUAGAUCAGACUUGGUAUUUAGUUAUCAUUGCUCCUUGUGGGUGGUGCUCUAGCUUUCUACUGGGCCAGCAUCAGUUUUGGUGGCAAGAUAAUGACAAUUUGAACGUGGCUCUUCGGAGUGUUAUAGCUUUUGUUGAUGUUGCCUACUGGGACUGAGGUCUGCGGCUUUUGCCUAGGAUGCUGGCGUAAUGAUCCAAUACCGCCCGUCUUGAAACAUGGACCAAGGAGUCUAACGUCUAUGCAAGUGUUUGGGUGUAAAACCCGUACGCGUAAUGAAAGUGAACGUAGAUCAGGGCCUCUUUCGAGGUGCACGAUCGACCGAUCCUGAUGUUUUCAGA